rnacentral:rRNA from 1 species
GACGAACGCUGGCGGCGUGCUUAACACAUGCAAGUCGAAGAUAGUGGCGAACGGGUGAGUAAUACGUGGGUAACCUGCCCUCCUUUUUGGGAUAAGCCUUGGAAACGGGGUCUAAUACCGCAUAAAGGGGGAUGGGCUCGUGGCCUAUCAGCUUGUUGGUGGGGUGAUUGCCGACCAAGGCGGUGACGGGUAGCCGGCCUGAGCGGGUGAACGGGCACAUAGGGACGGAGAUACGGCCCAGGCGACGACGGGAGGCAGCAGUUGGGGAUAUGGCACAAUGGGCGAUGGACCGAUGCAGCGACGACGCAUGGGGGAUGAAGGUUGUCGGGUUGUAAAAGUCUUUAGCUAGGGAAUGGGUAGGUGGAGAAGAAGCGCCGGCUAACUACGUGCCAGCAGCCGCGGUAAUUC